rnacentral:rRNA from 1 species
UAGGGAAUCUUCCGCAAUGGGCGAAAGCUUGACGGAGCAACGCCGCGUGAGUGAUGAAGGUCUUCGGAUCGUAAAACUCUGUUAUUAGGGAAGAACAAAUGUGUAAGUAACUAUGCACGUCUUGACGGUACCUAAUCAGAAAGCCACGGCUAACUACGUGCCAGCAGCCGCGGUAAUACGUAGGUGGCAAGCGUUAUCCGGAAUUAUUGGGCGUAAAGCGCGCGUAGGCGGUUUUUUAAGUCUGAUGUGAAAGCCCACGGCUCAACCGUGGAGGGUCAUUGGAAACUGGAAAACUUGAGUGCAGAAGAGGAAAGUGGAAUUCCAUGUGUAGCGGUGAAAUGCGCAGAGAUAUGGAGGAACACCAGUGGCGAAGGCGACUUUCUGGUCUGUAACUGACGCUGAUGUGCGAAAGCGUGGGAAUCAAACAGG